CAGUCUCACACUAAUCUCCCUCCCCCUCCUUUAGCCAGUCUCACACUAAUCUCCCUCCACCCUCCCCUGCACGGAGACAGCGUACAAAACGAUCAGAAGAACUAAUCGAAGUGACGGUGAUGAAUGCCGGCAGCGGUUUUGUUCAUCCCCAAGCAGACGUGAUACUGAGGAAGAUUAUCAAAGAACUCUUCCGUGAAGUGAGAGAGAAAAUUCUUGGGAACAUCCUGGGGAAAAAAAUCAUUCAAAGUACAAUUGAUGUUGAAACGCCAGGCGUCAGACAACCCUUUGAAGUUGAGAUCUCGCUAAGUCAGACCCCAUCCCCCCUACAGUGUGGCACAUAUCUCCUCUUUUGUUUUCCUCUAUUCUGAAGCUAACGUCAAAUGCCGGUGUCCGCGGAGAUGGCAGCGAUUCAGGCGAGACUAGAGUGAUCACAGCUAUUGCACAGCUAUCUAUAGCACGGGACAACAACAACCCCCC